GCUACUGAAUCAUAGAAUUUCUUUAAAUUCGUGAUGUCGUAAGGGAAAAUCAUGAUAUUACCUUACUAUGAGUGUCGUCCAAAUCUGGUGCCAGAAGACUCGGUAAGACCAGAGACGCAAACGUUAAUCAUCAUAAACAGGCGUAAAGGGUUUGUAGGCAGCUCUUACCAGACUAUAAUUACAAAAUAAAGUAGUUUAAUUAAGAGCUAGAAUCAAAAAGAGGUUAUAGUGUAUAACGCCUAGAGGAGGGCUGAUAUCCAUAGAUCCUAGGCAGAAUACUCAGGGCGAAGGCCACUCUCCAUUAAUGAUUGACGCUGAGAAACGAAGGUUAGGUUAGGAAAUAGGAUUAGAUACCCCGGUACUCCUUUCUGUAAACGAUGAAUGGUAGUCAUUAGAAAUACUAGAGACGAAGUUAACACAAUAACCAUUCCGCCUUGUGAGUACUACUGCAAAGUAGAAAACAAAAAAAUUAGUCGGUCUCGAAGCAAACGGAGUGAAGCAUGUUAUUUAAU
rnacentral:rRNA from 1 species